rnacentral:tRNA from 1 species
GGUAUUAUAUUUUAUAUUUAGAAAAUAUGAUUUGCAAUCAUAAAGAAAGAUCAUUAUCUUUAAUUCCU